AAAAAAUAAUAAUAAAAAGAAAGGUAAACGAAUCAAAACUCUGUUUUGUUUUCCAUCAUUUCUGAGCGUUUGCUUCGUAUCUUCACAAUAAUACACCACAGCGAAGACUUGCGCUUACUCUGUUCUCUCUUUCUCUUUAUCUCCAAAUCUCUCUCUGCUCCGCUCUCCGAAAAACAGGUAGCGACCAGAAUGGCGACGGAGG
rnacentral:misc_RNA from 1 species